rnacentral:rRNA from 1 species
UAGGGAAUUUUCGUCAAUGGGGGGAACCCUGAACGAGCAAUGCCGCGUGAGUGAGGAAGGUCUUCGGAUCGUAAAGCUCUGUUGUAAGAGAAAAACGGCACUCAUAGGGAAUGAUGAGUGAGUGAUGGUAUCUUACCAGAAAGUCACGGCUAACUACGUGCCAGCAGCCGCGGUAAUACGUAGGUGGCGAGCGUUAUCCGGAAUGAUUGGGCGUAAAGGGUGCGUAGGUGGCAGAUCAAGUCUGGAGUAAAAGGUAUGGGCUCAACCCGUACUGGCUCUGGAAACUGAUCCGCUAGAGAACAGAAGAGGACGGCGGAACUCCAUGUGUAGCGGUAAAAUGCGUAGAUAUAUGGAAGAACACCGGUGGCGAAGGCGGCCGUCUGGUCUGGAUUCUGACACUGAAGCACGAAAGCGUGGGGAGCAAAUAGG